rnacentral:hammerhead_ribozyme from 1 species
AUCUAGCUGACGAGUCCUAAAUAGGAUGAAAACGAACGUCAAACUGGAU